AUUGAACGCUGGCGGCAGGCCUAACACAUGCAAGUCGAGCGGACGAAGGGGGAUUGCUCUCGGAUUCAGCGGCGGACGGGCGGGUGAUGCCCAGGAAGAUGCCUGGUAUUGGGGAAUAAGGUCAGGAAACGGGCGCUAAUACCACAUACGUCCAUAGGUUGAACGGGGGGGAUCUUCGGAGCUAACGGUAUUUGCUGACACUAAGAGGGAUUAGCUAGUUGGUGGGGUAAAGGGCUACCAAGGCGACGAACCGUAACUGAUCUGAGAGGGUGAUCAGCCACACUGGAACUGAGACACGGUCCCGACUCCUACGGGAGGCAGCAGUGGGGAAUAUUGGGCAAUGGGCGAAAGCCUGAUCCAGCCAUGCCGCGUGUGUGAGGAAGGUCUUCGGAUUGUAAAGCUCUUUUAGUUGGGAGGAAGAAAAGUAAGUUAAUCCCUGGCUGUUUUGACGUUACCAAAAGAAUAAGCACCGGCUAACUUCGUG
rnacentral:rRNA from 1 species